GUGUUUGCUUCAGCAACAUGUAUACUAAAAUUGGAAUGAUAUAGAGAAGAUAAGCAUGGCCCCUGCACAAGGAUGACACACAAAUUCAUGAAGCGUCCCAUAUUUUA
ensembl:snRNA RNU6-1125P RNA, U6 small nuclear 1125, pseudogene